GUAGCUCAGAGGAUUAGAACACGUGGCUAUGAACCAUGAUGUCGGAGGUUCAAAUCCCUCACCCA
rnacentral:tRNA from 1 species